AGAAUACCUCCGUGACAGGGCCAAGGAGCGGUCAGGGUCCCAGGAUCUUGGGCCAUGGGCCCUGGAGCUAAGCAGGAUCGGGCCUGGUUAGUACUUGGAAGGGAGAUCACCUGGGAAUACCAGGUACU
rnacentral:rRNA from 1 species